CACUAGCGUAUAUUAAAGUUGUUGCAGUUAAAAAGCUCGUAGUUGGAUAUCUGUCAUGAUGAGCCUGGCCCUGGGCCUUUGAAAGGCUCAGAGUGCCGGUUUACGGCUCGCUCCGACCCUCCGUUAGGCGCCCCGUUGCUUGCUUCGUGCAAGCUUCGGUCAGUGCUCUUUCGUGAGGUGGGGUGAGUUCGCUCGUCGGACAUCCUUCAAGAGAACUACUCGGUCAUUGAUUUGAUCCGUGUAGGGAUCUUGAUCGUUUACUUUGAAAAAUUAGAGUGUUUAAGGCAGGCUUACGCCGUGAAUAUAUUAGCAUGGAAUAAUAAGAUAGGACUUCGGCACCGCUGGUAGCUGCUGCUUUUCUUGCAUGUCGCUUGCCCUGCCGUUUGGUAGGUGCUGGUUGGCGGUGGGAAGGCAGAUCCAACAGCUGUCGGUCUCUAUUUUGUUGGUUUCUAGAGCUGAGGUAAUGAUUGAUAGGGAUAGUUGGGGGUGCUA
rnacentral:rRNA from 1 species